AUUGAACGCUGGCGGCAGGCCUAACACAUGCAAGUCGAGCGGAUGAAAGGAGCUUGCUCCUGGAUUCAGCGGCGGACGGGUGAGUAAUGCCUAGGAAUCUGCCUGGUAGUGGGGGACAACGUUUCGAAAGGAACGCUAAUACCGCAUACGUCCUACGGGAGAAAGCAGGGGACCUUCGGGCCUUGCGCUAUCAGAUGAGCCUAGGUCGGAUUAGCUAGUUGGUGAGGUAAUGGCUCACCAAGGCGACGAUCCGUAACUGGUCUGAGAGGAUGAUCAGUCACACCGGAACUGAGACACGGUCCAGACUCCUACGGGAGGCAGCAGUGGGGAAGAUUGGACAAUGGGCGAAAGCCUGAUCCAGCCAUGCCGCGUGUGUGAAGAAGGUCUUCGGAUUGUAAAGCACUUUAAGUUGGGAGGAAGGGUUGUAGAUUAAUACUCUGCAAUUUUGACGUUACCGACAGAAUAAGCACCGGCUAACUCUGUGCCAGCCGCCGCGGUAAGAC
rnacentral:rRNA from 1 species